rnacentral:rRNA from 1 species
GAUCCUGGCUCAGGAUGAACGCUGGCGGCGUGCUUAACACAUGCAAGUCGAGCGAAGCGGUUUCAAUGAAGUUUUCGGAUGGAUUUGAAAUUGACUUAGCGGCGGACGGGUGAGUAACGCGUGGGUAACCUGCCUUACACUGGGGGAUAACAGUUAGAAAUGACUGCUAAUACCGCAUAAUCGCACAGGGCCGCAUGGUCUGGUGUGAAAAACUCCGGUGGUGUAAGAUGGACCCGCGUCUGAUUAGG